rnacentral:rRNA from 1 species
UACGGGGGGAGCAAGCGUUGUUCGGAUUUACUGGGCGUAAAGGGCGCGUAGGCGGCCACCGCAAGUCGACUGUGAAAUCUCCGGGCUUAACCCGGAAAGGUCAGCCGAUACUGCGGGGCUAGAGUGCAGAAGGGGCAACUGGAAUUCUCGGUGUAGCGGUGAAAUGCGUAGAUAUCGGGAGGAACACCGGUGGCGAAGGCGGCUUCCUGGACUGUCCCUGACGCUGAGGCGCGAAAGCGUGGGUAGCAAACAGG